AAUACUAUUCCCACAAUAGGAAAGAGCUUUUCAAAUUUCUAAACCAAAUAAGAACAUAAGUGAGGGUAUAACUUAAUCUCAGCCUUCCAUUCCAAUCAUCUCUCUAAAUUCCCUUGUCCAGGUGAAGGGGUUCGCUUGGCUUCUUUAUUUAUAAUUUCUGACUAUGUGUUGUUCCAAGUUAGUGCCAUGGUAUGUUUGUUUGAUUUUUCUGGAAUUGAUUUGUGAGGAAUAUAGGAAUCUGAAUUUUGAUCUUUAAUGAAUAAACAUCAUGGUGUGGAGUCUGAAGAGCGAUUAAGCGACUCCUUUUGUCUUAUUGGUUUUCCAAAGAUUUUUUCAUUUCAUAUCAUAAUUCCAAUGGAAAUAGACUCUCUUUGAGAUUCCAAGGGUUAAAUGCUUUGACGUGAGGGAUGUAUUUGGGGUUUCAGCAGAAAUUCUUUCCUUUAUGGGUAUGACAAUAAGAUUUUAGUGAUCAUCAUUCUGUAGGGAGUUUCAAUCCUGCCAAUCAUUUUUUUAGCUUUUUGAACACAAAGAUUAGAUCAGAAAAUAAAAUAAUUGAAUCUCAGUGUUUGCACCUUUCUCUGUUUUCCUUCUUAUUUUGAAAAUCCAUUUAGUGGGUUGAUUGUCAAGUAUCUGUUUGGAGUUUUUUCUUUUUAGCUAAUUCUUUUUAAAAAUAUAUUUGUUCAGUAGAUAGAUUAAAGUUGGCCAGUCAUCUUGAUCAGUAGUUUGGUCUGUGUCUGCCAAUUAGGUCUGGUUGAGAAUAAAAAAUUUCUUCUUACUCAACUCGUUUUUUUAUGGACAGACAUUUAUGGGAAGGAACCUUGAUAACAUAGGUCUGUUUGGUCAUGUACAUGUGGUUCGACAUUUAUAGAAAUGAAUGUCAGGCUUUGCACGUUUAACUGAUAUUUCAACCAUUAUUUUUCUAGGGACGUAUGGUUAGAUAUUAAAGAAGAACUCUUAUUGGUGCCUAACUUUUUACUUCUAAUUUCAGCUUAAAAUAAAAAAUUUAAAUUUCAGUAAGUUUAUUGGUUGCUAUGCUGUUUUUUUCAAUCAAUUUGUUAAGAGAAUGGUAAGGUGAUGCUAGCUUUAUUAGUUUCGUUUGUGGUUUUGAUAUUUUUGACUCAGUAAUUAUAUGUUUUGUGAUUUCUUCUUGCUUUUUUUGGAAACAAUAGCUGUCGUUUAUCUAGACUUGAAAAGAGUUCUUCUAGCAUUCCAAUAAUCUCAGUGAGCAAUCAGGAGAAAGGAGCCUUAUGGUUAUGUUCGUAUGAUGAGGGAGUUUCUCUACUACCUUAUGUGUUUCUGUUUUAGUCAAGAGUAUUAACUCCUAAUAGAUGUACAAUAAUUUAAGCUAGCUAAGUUGUAUGUAUUUGUAGGGUUCAACACUUUGAAUGUUAAGUAUUAUUUUACAUUGAAAUAUGAUUCUUUUUUUUCUUAAUCCUAACUGAUUUGGAACUAUGGAAGGCCGAGCUCUUUAUGCUACUGCCUACUGAUCUUAUAUCUUCCAUUGUCACAAAAGUGUAGUAUUAUUGCAUUGCUAAUAGAUAUUAAUAUAUUAUUUUGGGUGAUUGCUCUAGUGAUUGGCUUUCAAUGUUUUGCGCUUUUGGUUUUUGUUUCUCUACUUAAUUAUGAUAUUGCUGAUACUUAGAUAGUUGUAGCUGGAUUAAGUUUAAUUAUUGAAUUUGGUUCUAGUUUACUCUCUUUGUAUUUUCUUCCUUGCAGGAUUAGGUUUUAGUUUCUGGUUGGGCAUUUUUGGCCAGGGUCAAACUUUCUCCUAACUUCAUUUGGUUCUUUUCAACUCUAUAGUUUUGAUCAAUAUUCUUUUUGGGCUACAGCAAAUAAAUCCAAUCAUCAAAGCGUCCAAUUGAGGGAAGUGAAAAAGAGCCUCAAGUGCCACAAGGGUAAAUUACUCUGCUCUUUAUUUGUAUUCGAUAAUUUUUCUUUGCUUUUCGCCUUGAAUAUUAUGGGUAAAAUAUAUUUAAUAUUCCAAUUGACCCAGUUUAGAUAAAAAUAUAAAACAAUUAUCUUAUAUUUUACUAAAAUAUUUGCUAAUAAUUUUUUUUUUAAAAUUCUUUUGGCAUUUUGGCAUAUAUUGGCUAUUUUGUCUUUUGUAUUACAUGCUAUGCAUCAUGCCAUUUUAGCACACAUUGGCUAUCUUGUCCGCUCUCCAGCUUGGGUCUAUUGCAAUAUAAUGAUGCUAAUUUUGAAGGUUAGCUAGCUGUAAAUUUUUAUGUGAUUUGUGUUUGUAUUUGUGUUGUUGGACGCUUUAGUAAGAAGAACAAGAAAUCGAUUGCCUGUGGUUUAUUUAUUUAUAUCAUAUGUUUUAAUUUCUUUUUUACUCGGAGUAGAGCUAUUUUUGCACUCUUUUUUGGUUAUAGAAUCUCUAAAUAAAUCCAAUCAAGAAAGCAUCCAAUAUGAGAGAAGGGAAAAAGAGCCUCAAGCACCAAAAUGGGAGUUCCAAUCCUGCCAAUCCUUUUUUUGGAGUUUUGAACACAAAGAUUAGAUCAGAAAACAAAAUAAUUGAAUCUCAGCGUUUGCACCUUUCUCUCUUUUGCUUCUUAUUUUGAAAAUCCAUUUCGUGGGUUGAUUGUCAAGUAUUGGUUUGGAGUCUUUUCUUUUUAGCUAUUUUUUUAAAUAUCUUUGUUAAGUAGAUAGAUUAAAGUUGGCCAGUCAUCUUGAUUAGUAGUUUGUCUGUGUCUGCCAAUUAGGUCUGGUUGAGAACAAAAAAAUUCUUCUUACCCAACUCGUUUUUUUAUGGACAGCAAUUUAUGGGAAGGAGCCUUGAUAACAUAGGUCUAGUUUGGUCAUGUACAUGUGGUUCGACAUUUAUGGAAAUGAUUGUCAGGCUUUGCACGUUUAACUGAUAUUUCAACCUAUUAUUUUUCUAGGGACGUAUGGUUAGAUAUUCAAGAAGAACUCUUAUUGGUGCCUAACUUUUUACUUCUAAUUUCAGCUUAAAACAAAAAGUUUAAAUUUCAGUAAGUUUUUUGGUUGCUAUGCUGUUUUUUUCGAUCAAUUUGUUAGGAGAACGGUGAGGUGAUGCUAGCUUUAUUAGUUUCGUUUGUGGUUUUGAUAUUUUUGACUUAGUAAUUAUAUGUUUUGUGAUUUCUUCUUGCUUUUUUUGGAAACAACUGCUGUCGUUUAUCUAGACUUGAAAAGAGUUCUUCUAGCAUUCCAAUAAUCUCAGUAAGCAAUCCGGAGAAAGGAGCCUUGUGGUUAUGUUCUUAUUAUGAGGGAGUUUCUCUACUACCUUAUGUGUUUCUGUUUUAGUCAAGAGUAUUAACUCCUAAUAUUCUCACUAGAGAAUGUACAAUAAUUUAAGCUAGCUAAGUUGUAUGUAUUUGUAGGGUUUAACACUUUGAAUGUUUUAGGAAGUAUUAUUUUACAUUGAAAUAUAAUUUUUUUUUAAUCCUGACUGAUUUGGAACUAUGGAAGGCUGAGAUCUUCUUACCACAUCUUUCAAGUAUUGACUCCAGCCAGUGUUGUCAUAGAGCAUUAAUCAUGAGGGAGUUCUUUUUGCAUUGAAUAAUGGGGUUUCUAUUUUGAAUAUGAUUGAAUUAGAUUGAUCUAGGGAAGUUAUGGGGUUUCUAAUUCAUUUGGUUCCUUACUUCCCAUAAGUCCCUUUCUCUCAUCAGGCUGUAGGUUAAAGUUUGGAAAAUAAGCUUUUUUGGAUGUCAUUAUCCAUAAUCUUCUAUUUAAUUAAUACUCAUAAGUAGUAGUGAAUUUUGAGUAUUGGCUUUUCUGAGAUCCCACUAGCUUGUGGAGAUAUGGCUGCUAACAUUGAAAAUUGGUUCCGUUUUAUAAUUUUGUGAGAUCAUCAAAGCCACUGGAAUAGUCACAAAGACUGCUUGGGCUGGGGCUGCCUAUAACCUCCUGCUCUACAUGUUGGCUAAUCAUGUCUUAGGAGCCUCAUGGUAUCUGUUGUCAAUUGAGCGUCAGGUGACGUACUGCAAGUAUGCUUAUAAACAUGAAAGUGCAGUCUCUGUUACUUGGAUUGUGGUACUUUGAACAAAGAUGAAAGCAAACUAUGAGGAAAUAAUACUCAGGUGUUUAAUAGCUGUGAUCCAAAAAACAUUACUAUUUUUUAUUAUGGGAUAUUUGCAAAUGCUGUGACACAAAAGGUUGUCUCAUAUGACUUUCUUGAGAAGUAUUUCUACUGGUUUUGGUAGGGCUUGCAGAAUCUGAGGUACAAAUUUAUGAAAGUACCAAAAAAGUUAAAUUCCAUUACAAGUGAUGACAAAUGAAACUUUAUCAUCUUUAUUUGCUUUUUGAAUCAAUACUUGGAAAUUAAUUGAAGCUUUUGGUCCCCCUCCCCCGUACUCAUGCAAAGACUAAACAUAUGAUUAUCUUCAUGACUCAUAAAUUGAUAAUCACUUUUUUUUUUGCAAUGUAAAAUAGCUCUGUUGUAAACUUAUAUACUUCAUCAGCGUAGAAUGCGUGAGUAGUGGUAAAAAGUAUUUUAUGAAGGUUGAUUAUAACCUUUAAACGGAUAUUUUUGCUUUUUAUAUUUUCAGUUCCAUCGGCCAGGAUUUGGAAACUGCAUUUGCUACACUUAUUUCCAUCUUAGGUCUAGUUCUUUUUGCCCAUUUAAUUGGAAAUAUGCAGGUAAUGUGGAAGUUUUGCUCCUUUUAUCUGUUUUUGGCCUCCAUAGGAUUGCAUAUGUUGUUUCUCUGUAAUAGCUGAUAUUUGUUAUUCUAGGUUAAAUAUUUGGAUGCAGUAGACCAUCAAACAAAUAAUUUCAGUUUCUUUCCCAAGGUUAAUAAAAAAUAUUGCUUUUGGUUUUAAAACCUAAAAGACCAUUGAUUUCACCUUUUCUUUUUUGUCACAUGAAAAUCAACUACCAAGUACUGCUUAGAAGUAGUGCAUACUAGAAAGAACCUUAUUGGAAAAUGGGAAUUUGAAGGUUAGUAUGUGAUCUUCAUCAUUACUAGUAUAAACACUUGGAUCUUCUAGAAGUUUGGCCUUUGUUACUUGCCCGUUCUUGGAUCUAUUUAAGAAAAUUCAAGAUGGCAGGUGUUACUAGUUAAUUAAAGAAUUUACUGCUGUAUAAAGCGCCCCUCGGGUGAUGUUGAAGUAUAAAAUGCUCUAGGAGUAUAGGAGUUUUACUAUGUAUGUUAUCUUUUCUUUUGUUUGAUAUAUUGAUAGUGUAUUUUAUCUGAUAUGUAUUAUACACAUGGGAUUAGAGAAUGCUCUUUAUGCUACUGCCUACUGAUAUUAUAUCUUCCAUUGUCACAAAACUGUAGUUAUUGCAUUACUAAUAGACAUCAAUAUAUUAUUUUAGGUGAUUGCUCUAGUGAUUGGCUUUCAAUGUUUUGUGCUUUUGGUUUUUGUUUCUCUACUUAAUUAUGAUAUUGCUGAUGCUUAGAUAGUUGUAGCUGGAUUAAGUUUAAUUAUUGAAUUUGGUUCUAGUUUACUCUCUCUGUAUUUUCGUCCUUGCAGGAUUAGGUUUUAGUUUCUAGUUGGGCAUUUUUGGCCAAGGUCAAACUUUCUCCUAACUUCAUUUGGUUCUUGUAACGUACAUAGCUUCUUAUUUUCAAUGUCAGCUUUUUUUAAUAUUUAUGAUACAUGACUUAAAGGAAGGUGAAUAGUGAUAACUUUUUAAAAGAGAGAUAUAAGGUGAAUAGUGAUAACUUUUUAAAGAGAGAUAUAAGGUGAAUAGUGAUAACUUUUUAAAAGAGAGAUAUACUUUUCUUGUUUUGAAGUUCUAAUCUUGUACUCUAUAAAUUACCAUGUGCCAAAGAAGGAAAUGAAGUUCCUGUGGCUUGAGCUUGAUCUAUAUUUUAAUAGUUUCUUGUUUCAAUCCAAAAUUUGUUUCAUGAUCCACUUGGGAUGAGUGAAAUCAGGAAGUAAAAUUGCAUGCAUUUGCUUAAUUUUGUCUUCUUUAUUUUGCAUAACCCUUUGUGGAAUCUGUUUAACCUUCUAUAAUUACUCUAAGAUUGAGUUGUUUUUGGAAAUGCUUUAUAGCUUUGAUCAAUAGUCAGAAUCUUCUAAAGGUACACAUAUUGGUGGUACACUUGGUUUGACUUUCCUUUCUCCAUCUUCCUAUAGUUAGACUCUAUAGUUUUGAUCAAUAUUCUUUAUGGGUUACAGCAAAUAAAUCCAAUCAUCAAAGCGUCCAAUUGAGAGAAGUGAAAAAGAGCCUGAAGUGCCACAAUGGUAUUUUACUCUGCUUUUUAUUUGUAUUCGAUAAUUUUGCUUUGCUUUGUGCUUUGAAUAUUAUGGGUAAAAUAUAUUUAAUAUUCCAUUUGACCCAGUUUAGAUAAAAAUAUAAAAUAAUUAUCUUAUAUUUUACUAAAAUGUUUGCUAAUAAUUUUAAAAAAAAUUCUUUUGGCAUUUUGGCAUAUAUUGGCUAUGUCGUCUUCUGUAUUACAUGCUAUGCGUCAUGGCAUUUUAGCACACAUUGGCUACCUUGUCCGCUCUCCAGCCUGGGUCAAUUGCAGUAUAAUGAUGCUAAUUUUGAAGGUUAGCUAGCUGCAAAUUUUUAUGUGAUUUGUGUUUGUAUUUGUGUUGUUGGACGCUUUAGUAAAAAGAACAAGAAAUCGAUUGCCUAUAAUUUAUUUAUUUAUAUUAUAUGUUUUAAUUUCCUUUUUACUGGGACAAGAUAUUUUUGCACUCUUUUUUGGUUAUAGAAGCUCUAAAUAAAUCCAUUCAAGAAAGCAUCCAACCGAGAGAAGGGAGAAAGAGCCUCAAGUACCAAAAUGGUUUUGAUAACAUGGAUUUAGGAAAAUUCAUUUAAAACUCCUGUUAGAAUUAAUUAGGAUUAUUAUUUGUGUUACUUGAUUAAAGGCUUUUAAAAGCCAGGGUUGUAAUUCCCCUUAAGUGCUCCCUCAUCCUUAAUCUCUUUCUCGUUUUUCUUUAUUCUUCUUUUCCUCCUUUUCUUUACAUGUUUUUGUUUCCCGAAUUAGGUUUUCACCUCGCAUGUUUAAAUAACUAAAAUCAAUUUAGCAUUUUAUAUGUGAUAGGCUUCGAUGCUCAACUUGAAGUAAGUUAAGUUUAUUAGUGUAAUCCUCCCUUCCCUUAGGCUUAUGUUCAACUUAAAUGCUAAAUAAAAUGAUUUUUAGAUUUAUGAAAUAAAAUUAGACUGUAAUUUGGUCAGUUUCACAUGUUAAUAAAAACUUAAGUUAUUAAAGUAUCUUCCUCGGAACUAGAUAAGUUACCAAUAUAUCUCUCUAAUGAGUCUAAUUAAGGUUAGUGUAUCUUUUGCUAGGAUUAGACAAGGUAUCAAAUUACCUCCUUUAAUAUUUCACCUUAAUAUUUUAUAGUAACUUUAAUAUUUUUCGGGUUAUUACUCUUCGCCCCUUGUAUUUCUCAUAUUAUACUAGUUACUCUCUAAUACUUAAAAAUUAUAUUUCUUUCAUCAUUCUAUUUUGUAAUUAUAUACUAAAAAUCGACUCUGUCUGAAUUUUCAUUAAACAAUGUUAUCUAAGUUUGGUUUUAUACUAUUUAUCUUGAUCUUUGAUGUAAUACAUAAAUUGCCUCUUGAU